rnacentral:rRNA from 1 species
AAAAUUUAAAAUUAAAAUACUAAAAUAGUAAAUAAUUAUUUAUUGAAACUUAAAUGAUUUGGCGGUAUUUUAGUUCAUUUAGAGGAAUCUGUUUAAUAAUUGAUAUUCCACGAAUAAACUUACUUAAUUUAUAAUUUUGUAUAUCGUUGUUAAAAAAAUAUUUUUUAAUAAAAUUAAUAUUU